GACUGGCUGUGAACUGCAGUCCUCAGAUCUCAGCCUUCUGAGUAGCUAGGAUUAUAGGCGGGAGCCACCAGUGCCUUGAGGCUAAGAAGUUAAAUUCAUCCCUCCACCAGAAAGCUAAGUUAGAGUGGAACAAAGUGGAAUAUACAUACUAGGCCUGUGUCCCAGCCUCAGUGUGAUGCCAAUAAAAGCAUGGGGAGGAAAUACCUUUACAGUUACCAUUAGCAUGCACUUGAAUUGCCUCUGAGAUGCCAGAGCACUGUGCUCCCCUACUAUAAUGGAAGCAGGUUGGCAUUUUUGCACAGAUGUGUUUAGAGCAGAGGUCUGUCCCUGCCCCAGGAACAGGACUCUGAAUCUGUGUGUGAGAAAAAAGGGGAUACUUCUCACUUCCCAUUCUUGGUUUAAAUUUGGAGGAAGUAAAAGAAGUAGUAGGUAUAAAUGUAUAUGUGUAUUUUAUGGGGAUGCGGAGAAUGGAACCCUAACCUAUGCAAAAAAAAGAGUAAGUAUACAGUGGAGGUCCUGCAAGGUUGGCUAUUAAUAUAACACACAAAAUCUAAGUAAGCAUUUGUAGGAGGGCAAAGAGGAACCCCUAGGGCCCAUCUUGCAAUGAAUGGGAAGGAUGUACAACUAUGUUUAAUUCAAGCAAACAGCUAAGUUCUAAGUGAAGGUAAUACACAUCCCCAUUUAGAAAAUACAUAGAGAAACAUCAAGAGCUGAAAAACCUCAAACAUAAGAGGCCCAGGGGAAGUUAACAAAAAUGCAAAGACUUAGUCACGGUUUGUCACUCUAGGCAGACUACUUGAGAUGCAAAUGAUUCCCUGCUCCUCUUAAUUUCCAAUGAAAGCCAAUAGGCUACAAAGACAGGGAAUGAAGAAGGUGGAAAACAGUAUAGGAGCUGGGGAGUUGAAAAGUCUGAGCAUUGGCUGGUGGGAGAUCAAGAAAGUGUGGUAAGAACUGGAAAGUCCCAACUAGAUCGUAAACCCAUUGGGGGCCUAGCACCAGCCAGUCAAUACUUGAUUUGAGUAGCAAAGGUGAAAAAAAAGAAUCCAUCAUUAGAGACUCCUUGGUUCCAAUCCUAAUAUCCAAGGAGUCAUUCUAUCUCCACUGCCCUGAAAAGUCUUGGAAAGGUAUGGAAUGGUCUUGGUAAA